GAUGAACGCUAGCUACAGGCUUAACACAUGCAAGUCGCGGGGCAGCAUGGGGGUUGCUUGCAAUCCCCGAUGGCGACCGGCGCACGGGUGAGUAACGCGUAUCCAACCUGCCCUUCACCACGGGAUAACCCGGCGAAAGUCGGACUAAUACCGUAUGUUGUCCAUUGACGGCAUCCGAUUUGGACGAAAGGUUUGGCGGUGAAGGAUGGGGAUGCGUCCGAUUAGCAGGACGGCGGGGUGACGGCCCACCGUGGCGACGAUCGGUAGGGGUUCUGAGAGGAAGGUCCCCCACACUGGAACUGAGACACGGUCCAGACUCCUACGGGAGGCAGCAGUGAGGAAUAUUGGUCAAUGGGCGUAAGCCUGAACCAGCCAAGUAGCGUGCAGGAUGACGGCCCUAUGGGUUGUAAACUGCUUUUAUGCGGGGAUAAAGUGGCCCACGUGUGGGUUUUUGCAGGUACCGCAUGAAUAAGGACCGGCUAAUUCCGUG
rnacentral:rRNA from 1 species